rnacentral:snRNA from 1 species
GAAUAUAACAUCCUCAAAAAAAAUUCUCGUGUUUACUUUGGAAUGAUAGAGAGAAGAUUAGCACAGCCCUUGAAUGAGGAUUACAUGCAAAAUUGUGAAGAAUUCCGUAUUUUU